UAGAAAUGGUGUCUGUUGGGUUGCAGCCAUU
rnacentral:piRNA from 1 species